GGGUCACUUUAGGGAUGUCACAAAUUCUUUGUACCUUUCCCAUGCCUCAUACAAGGACUCAUCAUCCAUUUGUUGGAAAGCAGUGAUCUCAUUCCUCAACUU
rnacentral:snoRNA from 1 species